rnacentral:rRNA from 1 species
UGAGGAAUAUUGGACAAUGGGCGCAAGCCUGAUCCAGCCAUGCCGCGUGCAGGAUGACGGUCCUAUGGAUUGUAAACUGCUUUUUGUACAGGAAGAAACAGUUCUACGUGUAGAACCUUGACGGUACUGUAAGAAUAAGGAUCGGCUAACUCCGUGCCAGCAGCCGCGGUAAUACGGAGGAUCCAAGCGUUAUCCGGAAUCAUUGGGUUUAAAGGGUCCGUAGGCGGUUAGAUAAGUCAGUGGUGAAAGCCCAUCGCUCAACGGUGGAACGGCCAUUGAUACUGUCUGACCUUGAAUUAUUAGGAAGUAACUAGAAUAUGUAGUGUAGCGGUGAAAUGCUUAGAGAUUACAUGGAAUACCAAUUGCGAAGGCAGGUUACUACUAAUGGAUUGACGCUGAUGGACGAAAGCGUGGGUAGCGAACAGGAUU